rfam:Caldibacillus debilis strain B4135 NODE_11, whole genome shotgun sequence.
AUAUCCGUGAGGAGUCGUGCGGAGGGGCUGAAGGCAAAUCCCUGACCAGAGCCAGUAUCCCAUGUCGGCACAAGAGCGGGAUGACCGUGCAAAAAACCGGGAAGUCCCAAUAACUGACGUAGCUCGAAGUGUUAGGAGGGCUGGGAUAGGGGGAAAGGAACCGAU